rnacentral:rRNA from 2 species
UGUUUCGGCUAGGGGGCCAUCCCGGCUUACCAACCCGAUGCAAACUGCGAAUACCGGAGAAUGUUAUCACGGGAGACACACGGCGGGUGCUAACGUCCGUCGUGAAGAGGGAAACAACCCAGACCGCCAGCUAAGGUCCCAAAGUCAUGGUUAAGUGGGAAACGAUGUGGGAAGGCCCAGACAGCCAGGAUGUUGGCUUAGAAGCAGCCAUCAUUUAAAGAAAGCGUAAUAGCUCACUGGUCGAGUCGGCCUGCGCGGAAGAUGUAACGGGGCUAAACCAUGCACCGAAGCUGCGGCAGCGAACGUAUCACUUAAAGCG